rnacentral:snoRNA from 1 species
GAGCAGAUGAUGUUAAUACUAACUAGAUCACUGAGAUCUUGGUCUUUGAUGUCUAAAAAAUCGAGCUUUUUAAAACUGAUGCUUA